UGUGCAAAUGAGCCCAUGGACUGUCGGGCCUCAGAUACUAGAGAUUGUACUUCCCAUGGAGCUUCGGGAGAGUUGGAAACUGCUUCUACCAACUCUGAACAGUCUGACACCACGUCAAGUACUUCGCUUCUUCUGGUCGUGAGGAAAGAGAGAGCUUCAAUGAGAGCUGGGGUUUCUACAUGGAAGGCAGAGGCUGCUGUUACAGAUUUGGCAAAACCAUCAAGGAUCGUCCUCGACGAGUCGCGAAUCAUGCCGGCUAUAGCUUCGGUGUUUGCUCCGCCCACGAACGACCCAUCAAUAUUCACUUUUAAGGUUUGGCCUCUCGAGGGAACCCAAUGUCGAGGUCGUUGGAUUUAGGAUCUGUUGCCGAAAUACAAAAUUGUUCCUCGCCUUCCAAAUUGACCAGAGAGCGCAAGCCACCGUGUCGUGGGAAGGUGGAUCUACCGAGUGGCGUAGGAGCAGUCCAAAUAGAAGCGGUCCAAGAACAGAGCAAGAACAGGUGCUCCACUGUUUCGGCAUCCUGAUUACAAAAAGGGCAAGUGGGUGCAAGUAAACCAUGGAUUUGCAUCUAGAAGGCACACAAAUCAAAGGUAAUACUAUGGGGAGGAGUACUCAGCUCCCAUGGCUUAAGCACUAAUAGGUGGCUGGAGAAAGACCAUGGACGAGAAUUAAGAAUUAUGUCCUUCUCUUGAGCAGAGGGGAAUUCAAGGGAGAAAA